GUCCGGAAGUCGGGGGCUCGACGAGCCCACCUCCCACCCGUGUUUACUGUUACCGCGUUGCCUCGGCGGGCCCACUGGGGCCUGGCCCCGGUCGCCGGGGGGCUUCUGCCCCCGGGCCCGCGCCCGCCGAAGCACCCUAGAACCCUGCCUGAACAGUGAGUCUGAGUGAGAUUUUAAAUCAUUAAAACUUUCAACAACGGAUCUCUUGGUUCCGGCAUCGAUGAAGAACGCAGCGAAAUGCGAUAAGUAAUGUGAAUUGCAGAAUUCCGUGAAUCAUCGAAUCUUUGAACGCACAUUGCGCCCCCUGGCAUUCCGGGGGGCAUGCCUGUCCGAGCGUCAUUUCUGCCCUCCAGCACGGCUGGGUGUUGGGCGCUGUCCCCCCGGGGACACGCCCCAAAAGCAGUGGCGGCGCCGCGUCGGGUCCUCGAGCGUAUGGGGCUCUGUCACCCGCUCGGGAGGGACUCGGUCGGCGCCGGUCUUCCCUUUAGGCCGCCCUUCGGGGUGCGCCUCUUCCGGUUGACCUCGGAUCAGGUAGGGCUACCCGCUGAACUUAAGCAUAUCAAUAAGCGGAGGAAUCAUUACCGAGUGCGGGUUCGAACGAGCCAACCUCCCACCCGUGUUUACUGUUACCGCGUUGCCUCGGCGGGCCCACUGGGGCCUGGCCCCGGUCGCCGGGGGGCUUCUGCCCCGGGCCGCGCCGCGCAAGCACCUAGAACCUGCGCCGAAACGUGAGUCCUGAAUGAAGAUAUUUAAAUCAUUAAAACUUUCUACAACGGAUCUCUUGGUUUCGCAUCAUGAGACGCAGAAUGCCAUAAGUAUGUGAUUGCAGAUCGUGAUCAUCAUCUUGAAGCAUUGGCUGCAUUCGGGGCAUGCUGUCAGCCUUAUUGCUUCGUGGGUGGGCGUCUCGGUACCCCAAAUGGGCCCGGUCCCAGAUAGCUCACCUGGGAACCGCGUAUCCUAGCUGGCUCGGACGAAGGUCGAUACCAUCAGACUC
rnacentral:rRNA from 1 species